UAGUGAAGAAAAUCUUAUGCUCAACUAAACAGGAGGAUGAGACGCAAAGGAGGAAGAUUUUCCAGGCCAAGUGUCGAGUAGGAGAGGCAAUUUGCAGGCUAAUUAUCGAUAGCUGUAGUUGUGAGAAUUUGAUAGCUAAGCAAUUGGUAGAAAAAUUACAGUUGCCUACACAACAUCACCCCUCACCAUACAAAGUCGGAUGGAUUAAGGAAGGACCGACAAUUGAGGUCAACAGAAUCUG
rnacentral:lncRNA from 1 species